rnacentral:rRNA from 1 species
UACAUCCUACGGGAGGCAGCAGUGGGGGAUAUUGCACAAUGGGGGAAACCCUGAUGCAGCGACGCCGCGUGGGUGAAGAAGCGCCUCGGCGCGUAAAGCCCUGUCAGCAGGGAAGAAAAUGACGGUACCUGAAGAAGAAGCCCCGGCUAACUACGUGCCAGCAGCCGCGGUAAUACGUAGGGGGCAAGCGUUAUCCGGAUUUACUGGGUGUAAAGGGAGCGUAGACGGCGGU